UACGUAGGGGGCAAGCGUUGUCCGGAAUCAUUGGGCGUAAAGAGCGCGUAGGCGGCCAGAUAAGUCCGGUGUGAAAGUCAAAGGCUCAACCUUUGAAUGCCGCUGGAAACUGUCUGGCUAGAGUCCGGGAGGGGCGAGUGGAAUUCCUGGUGUAGCGGUGAAAUGCGCAGAUAUCAGGAGGAACACCAAUGGCGAAGGCAGCUCGCUGGAACGGUACUGACACUAAGGCGCGAAAGCGUGGGGAGCGAACAGG
rnacentral:rRNA from 1 species